rnacentral:rRNA from 1 species
UACAGAGGGUGCAAGCGUUAAUCGGAAUUACUGGGCGUAAAGCGUGCGUAGACGGUUAUGUAAGUCGGGUGUGAAAGCCCCGGGCUCAACCUGGGAAUUGCAUUCGAGACUGUGUAGCUAGGGUACGGAAGAGGGAAGCGGAAUUUCAGGCGUAGCGGUGAAAUGCGUAGAUAUCUGAAGGAACACCAGUGGCGAAAGCGGCUUCCUGGUCCAGUACCGACGUUCAGGCACGAAAGCGUGGGGAGCAAACAGG